GGUAGACUGUGAGGGAGCAAGCACAGGCUAGACUCUGGGGUUUAAAGAAUACAAUGUGUUCUGUCCAAAAGAAGGUUACAUAGUAUUGAAAUAGAAACCCGAAAACCUCAACCAUUCUUGAGCUGAGCCUGCCUGUGCUCAUUUAGGCUACUGAGCUAGAGUUAGCAGUUGAGGUCAGCAGUUCCAAAAUGAGGCUGUUUACGUUUGCACCACGUAUGGACCGUUGUGGAGGACCGCAGACUUUGGCGUGUAGGACAUCUUCUGCUUCGGUGUUCUUGGGGGAUUAGACUUGUUGGUAUAAAUGAGACUUUCCAGGGGCCCUGAACUCCUACUCCCCACCCACAACCCUGUGCCCAUGGACAGGCUUGAGACAUAGCGACCAGCCCUGGAGUGUUCCCGAAACUCAAGACAGACAGACCCAUAUCCCAUGCCAUGUCACAGGAGGAGUAAGGAUGAGAAAGUUGCCUGAGGAGUGCAGAGGAGACAAACGUAGAAGCAGAACCUGUGGGUAUGGUACAGAAGAAAGCCGGACUGACACACUAGAGUCUUCCGAAGAUCCGCGUUGGCCAAAUUUCCCUCUCUGUGCUGAAGCUGUGGUGACAUGGACACUACAGGGAUUCCACGCAAGAGCAAACCCUGGUUUUGCCAAAUACAUGUUACAGUAGAAUUUAUGAUUGACCUGUUUAAGUGGCUUUGAUUAAAAUAAUAUUUUUCCUAGAGUC